UAUUAUAUUUUAUUCUGUAUAUGAUGUAAUUUAAAUGUUUUUAAACGGACAUAUAUUAUUCAAUCGAUGAAGAAAUAAUAUGUGUACAAUUUCCCACAUUGCUUAGAAAAAUUGGACAAUGGUUCAGAGCCAUAUUAUAAAAAUGA
rnacentral:sRNA from 1 species